rnacentral:rRNA from 1 species
UAAGACGGAGGGCGCAAGCGUUGUUCGGAAUUACUGGGCGUAAAGGACAGGUAGGUGGUCUGUUAAGUCUUCUGUGAAAAUCCGGGGCUCAACCCCGCGAAAUGCAGGUGAAACUGGCAGACUUGAGAUCGGUAGAGGCUAGCGGAAUUCCUGGUGUAGCGGUGGAAUGCGUAGAUAUCAGGAAGAACACCUGUGGCGAAGGCGGCUAGCUGGGCCGAUUCUGACACUGAACUGCGAAAGCGUGGGGAGCAAACAGGAUUAGAUACCCUGGUAGUCCACGCCGUAAACGAUGGGCACUAGAUGCCGGGCAUAUAGACGUGUUCGGUGUCGUCGCUAACGCAUUAAGUGCCCCGCCUGGGGAGUACGGUCGCAAGGCUG